rnacentral:rRNA from 1 species
CUCGUAGGCGGUUCGGCAAGUCGGAUGUGAAAUCUCCACGCUUAACGUGGAGGGGCCAUUCGAAACUGCCGUGACUCGAGUCCGGUAGGGGAGUGCGGAAUUCCCGGUGUAGCGGUGAAAUGCGCAGAUAUCGGGAGGAACACCAGUAGCGAAGGCGGCACUCUGGGCCGGAACUGACGCUGAGGAGCGAAAGCGUGGGGAGCGAACA